rnacentral:rRNA from 1 species
AUUGAACGCUGGCGGCAGGCCUAACACAUGCAAGUCGAACGAGUGGCGGACGGGUGAGUAAUGUCUGGGAAACUGCCUGAUGGAGGGGGAUAACUACUGGAAACGGUAGCUAAUACCGCAUACCAUCGGAUGUGCCCAGAUGGGAUUCGCUAGUAGGUGGGGUAACGGCGCACCUAGGCGACGAUCCCUAGCUGGUCUGAGAGGAUGACCAGCCCCCGUGGAACGGAGACACGGUCCAGACUCCUACGGACGGCGGCAGUGGGGAAUAUUGCACAAUGGGCGCAAGCCUGAUGCAGCCAUGCCGCGUGUAUGAAGAAGGCCUUCGGGUUGUAAAGUACUUUCAGCGGGGAGGCGUUACCCGCAGAAGAAGCACCGGCUAACUCCGUGCCAGCAGCCGCGGUAAUUC